rnacentral:rRNA from 1 species
AGAGUUUGAUUCCUGCUCAGGAUGAACGCUAGCGGCAGGCCUAAUACAUGCAAGUCGAACGGGAUCCAGAUCAAAGCUUGCUUUGGUUUGGUGAGAGUGGCGCACGGGUGCGUAACGCGUGAGCAACCUACCCUUGUCAGGGGGAUAGCCCGGCGAAAGUCGGAUUAAUACCGCAUGACAUCAUUGAGAGGCAUCUUUCUAUGAUCAAAGAUUUAUCGGACAAGGAUGGGCUCGCGUGACAUUAGCUAGUUGGUAAGGUAACGGCUUACCAAGGCUACGAUGUCUAGGGGCUCUGAGAGGAGAAUCCCCCACACUGGUACUGAGACACGGACCAGACUCCUACGGGAGGCAGCAGUAAGGAAUAUUGGUCAAUGGACGGAAGUCUGAACCAGCCAUGCCGCGUGCAGGAGGACGGCCCUAUGGGUUGUAAACUGCUUUUAUACGGGAACAAACGUCGGUACGUGUACCGGUCUGAGUGUACCGUAAGAAUAAGGAUCGGCUAACUCCGUGCCAGCAGCCGCGGUAAUACGGAGGAUCCGAGCGUUAUCCGGAAUUAUUGGGUUUAAAGGGUGCGUAGGCGGCCAGAUAAGUCAGGGGUGAAAGUCGGCAGCUCAACUGUCGCAGUGCCUUUGAUACUGUUUGGCUUGAAUUCGGUUGAAGAUGGCGGAAUGAGACAAGUAGCGGUGAAAUGCAUAGAUAUGUCUCAGAACACCGAUUGCGAAGGCAGCUAUCUAAGCCGUUAUUGACGCUGAUGCACGAAAGCGUGG